GUUUCUUGAAAGCAUUAUUGCUUUAUCGCAGAAUCAACGUUCUAAAUUGUGCAAUUUAUGGAAUCAAGCAACCCAUUCGACAAUUUGUCUUCCAGAACACUCAUGAUAGUCGAAAUGUAAUUGCAUACAGGAAAGUGAAGAAGAAUAUGACCCAAUGUGGAGAUUGUCAGAGAGUGAUUCCAGUUAAUUCAGUAGUGACAAUGAUAUCACUCGGAAUGAUUUGAGAGAUUGUUCAUCUCCAAUUACUGCUGAUCAACUGAAAAUUGCUAAAGGAGUAGAGAAAGUAUUGUCAAAAACAUCACCUGGAACUAAGGUAAUGUGAAGUGGGGUAAUUG